GUGAAUCAUCAAAUUUUUGAACGCAAAUUGCACUCUCUUCUGAUAGUAUGCCUGUUUGAGUGUCAGCCUAAAAAAAAUCGACAUAGUCUCUGUUUCUCGGUGACAUUCGUCGGUAAUUGGUUCAUCUUAAACCUUUGGGGUUGAAGCGGCUUAAAAUUUUCUUUACUAUUCCACUAACGUUUCUAGGA
rnacentral:misc_RNA from 1 species